rnacentral:rRNA from 1 species
AUAAUAAAAGUAACGCAAGUGAAAUAAACUAAAAACAAAAAAGUAGGCAUUCACCCCCGUACCUUUAGCAUCAUGGUUAAAUAAAAAUUAAAAAAAUAAACCACCCGAAAUAAAAAUGAUCUAUUUUGUUACAAAGAGUUUAUAUGGCAACAUAAUUCCCAGAUAAAAAAAUAGAGGUGACAUUCCAAUCGCAUUUUAAGAUAGCUGGUUCUUCAAAAAAUACAUAUAAGUGUUCCAGUAGUUUUUUUAAAAACUAAUACUAUAAAACCAAAAAAACUGCUAGCCAUAAAAUUAAGGAUAAGCUUAAUUUUAACUUGUGAAAUAAUACAAUUUAACUUAUAAAGUAGGUCUAAAAUCAACCACCUAAAGAGAUCGUUACAGACCAAUAAAAUAAAACAUAAAAUAACUAAAAAAUUCCUAUAACACUAUUGAAGCAUGCUGAACCUUAACAAUCAGCCAAAGAGAAUUUUUAAACAAGUAAUUAAAACAAUAAUUUUAUCAUUUAAAAAAUAAAUUAAAUGAAAAAAACUAACUAAAAAAGAUAAAAUAAAGAAAAGGAACUCGGCAAAAACUUAUUCCACCUGUUUACCAAAAACAUGGCUCCUUGUAAAGAAAAAAUAAGGAGUCAAACCUGCUCAAUGAUUUCAAUAAUUAAAUAGCCGCGGUACCCUGACCGUGCAAAGGUAGCAUAAUCACUUGCCUCUUAAUUGGUGGCUGGCAUGAAGGGUUUAAUGAGAAUAAUACUGUCUCUUCUUUAAUCUAUUGAAACUACCCACUAGGUGAAAAGGCCUAGAUACCUAUACAAGACAAUAAGACCCUAUCGAGCUUUAGGUUAAAAUCUAUUAUAAAACAAAACCAAAAAGAAAGAUACCUUUAGUUGGGGCGACUAAGGAACAAACAAAACUUCCUAAAACAAAAACACCAACAAGUCACGACCCGGAAAAUAUCCGAUAAAAGAAAAAAGCUACCGUAGGGAUAACAGCGUAAUUUUCUUUGUGAGCUCUUAUUAAAAAGAAAGUUUGCGACCUCGAUGUUGGAUUAAGGUAUCCUAAAGACGCAGCAGUCUUUAACGGUUGGUUUGUUCAACCAUUAAAACCUUACAUGAUCUGAGUUCAAACCGGCGUAAGCCAGGUUGGUUUAUAUCUGUAAAAACCUAAAGAAUAGUACGAAAGGAUUUUUUUUAGAAAAAAAUUUUACCAUAAGCUAACGAAUAACACCCUGCUAUAAAGUUAAAUUGGCAGAAUAGUGCACUUGACUUAGGAUCAA